GGCAAAUCUAUUUUACAAAUGGUAACCCCAAAUUCAAGGGACUAAAAGAACCUCGAACGCCGGCACUCACGUGGGCGACCUUGAGGAAAUCGCUUAAAAUCGGUGCAAUAGUUAUAAAUCAUGAAAUACCUUUGCACCCAUCUAAGCUUUCUUCGACCAUUAGCAUCCAACCCUAGAGUUUGCCAAUCGUGGCUACUCAUCGGGCUAUCAGUCCCCUUUAAGCCACAAGAAGGCAGACCUGAAGAACUCCAUACGCAUGCAUUGGCAUUGAAGUUUCUGUAGUAUGCAGUGAAAGGAGCCUUAGACCAAUCUGUUUUUACAAGCC
rnacentral:misc_RNA from 1 species